AGUUUGAUCAUGGCUCAGGAUGAACGCUAGCGGGAGGCCUAACACAUGCAAGCCGAUCGGUAGAGAUUCUUCGGAAUCUUGAGAGCGGCGUACGGGUGCGUAACACGUGUGCAACCUGCCUUUAUCUGGGAGAUAGCCUUUCGAAAGGAAGAUUAAUAUCCCAUAAUAUAUUGAUUGGCAUCGAUUGAUAUUGAAAGCUCCGGCGGAUAAAGAUGGGCACGCGCAAGAUUAGAUAGUUGGUGAGGUAACGACUCACCAAGUCGAUGAUCUUUAGGGGGCCUGAGAGGGUGAUCCCCCACACUGGUACUGAGACACGGACCAGACUCCUACGGGAGGCAGCAGUGAGGAAUAUUGGACAAUGGGUGGAAGCCUGAUCCAGCCAUCCCGCGUGAAGGAAUAAGGGCCUAUGGCUUGUAAACUUCUUUUGUACAGGGAUAAACCUACCCUCGUGAGGGUAGCUGAAGGUACUGUACGAAUAAGCACCGGCUAACUCCGUGCCAGCAGCCGCGGUAAUACGGAGGGUGCAAGCGUUAUCCGGAUUUAUUGGGUUUAAAGGGUCCGUAGGCGGGCUUAUAAGUCAGUGGUGAAAGCCGGCAGCUUAACUGUCGAACUGCCAUUGAUACUGUAAGUCUUGAGUAUAUUUGAGGUAGCUGGAAUAAGUAGUGUAGCGGUGAAAUGCAUAGAUAUUACUUAGAACACCAAUUGCGAAGGCAGGUUACCAAGUUAUAACUGACGCUGAUGGACGAAAGCGUGGGGAGCGAACAGGAUUAGAUACCCCGGUAGU
rnacentral:rRNA from 1 species